UACGUAGGCAGCAAGCGUUGUUCGGAUUCAUUGGGCGUAAAGGGUGCGUAGGCGGCGCGGUAAGUCGGGUGUGAAAUCUCGGAGCUUAACUCCGAAACUGCAUUCGACACUGCCGUGCUUGAGGACUGGAGAGGAGACUGGAAUUUACGGUGUAGCGGUGAAAUGCGUAGAUAUCGUAAGGAAGACCAGUGGCGAAGGCGGGUCUCUGGACAGUUCCUGACGCUGAGGCACGAAGGUCAGGGGAGCAAACGGG
rnacentral:rRNA from 1 species